rnacentral:lncRNA from 10 species
UAAAGCUCGAGUCUCUGAAGCAUUUGAGAAAAAGCACAAAUUCAACAGAUAUUUAUCAAGUGUCUUCUCUGUGAUGUGGCUGAAGAUAGGAAUUUACAGCAUGGCAACAAAGAAUGAUACAACAUCUAACUGUACUAUGUGUGAAGUGCUACAAAAACAUAUGGCAAGCUCUGGAAUCAAGAAGUGAGGAGGCCAGUCCUCCAUGGAUCCCGACCCUUUUCUUAACCUGAUUCUCCAUCUUUGGGUUGAGACAGUGAGCUGCCUGACAACUCUCUCAGAAAUUAUUUUUUCUGGAUGAGGAAACUGAGGGGUGAAGAGUUUAAGUCGUCUGCCCAAAACUAGCAGUGGGAGAGUGAUGCAGCCAGGAUUUAAACCCAGGUAGCCCAAAUACGGCAUCUACAAUCUAUCUCAAAUCUAUGGCAUCACAGAUGAGCUGGUGUCCACCUUUCCCUGAAGGAGUUGAAGGAGCUUUUAUAGAAGAAGUGAUAUCUGAACUGGACCUUAGAGAGUAAGUAAAAUUCUGCCAGAUAAAGAAUAUGUAAAAGUGUUAGUCCAGCCUGAGAUUUGUGUGCAAGGGCAGAGUCGGGAAAGGCCACUACGUGCUUGCAGGAAUGCCUCAUGGGCAUAAGUUGCUGGCGUGUGGGUGUAGUGGGGGUUGGGUAGAGGGAGAGGUAUGAGCUGGGGACGGGGUGGCUGAAAAAAGAGGUUGGUAGUAGAGGAAUCCAAAUAUAUUUUUGAAAUGGA